CAAUAGCGUAUAUUAAAGUUGUUGCGGUUAAAACGCUCGUAGUUGGAUUUCUGUUGAGGGCAGCCGGUCCGCACUUCGUGCGUGUACCUGGUUUGACCUCGGCAUCCUCUCAAAAUACGUUUCUGCGCUUGAUUGCGUGGAGCGGAGUUUGAGACUUUUACUUUGAGGAAAUUAGAGUGUUCACGGCAGGCAAUCGCCUUGAAUAUAUUAGCAUGGAAUAAUAAUAUAGGAUCUUGGUUCUAUUUUGUUGGUUUCUAGAGCUAAGAUAAUGAUUAAUAGGGACAAUUGGGGGCAUUCGUAUUAACGCGUCAGAGGUGGAAUUCUUGGAUUGCGUUACGACGAACUACUGCGAAAGCAUUUGCCAAGGAUGUUUNCAUUG
rnacentral:rRNA from 1 species